ACUGAAUUCUGAGCUAUCUGCCUCAAAGGGUAAUUUUAGAGGUAAGUCUCUAACUGGAGAACAGCUGCAAUGCCCCCCGUUCACAGCAUGUAAGAAAGAAAGGAGCUUUUGAUUCCGUACAGUGUUACUGCAUCCUUAAUAAAACUGUUAUGUAUUCAAUUGCUGAUGAGAAGAUUCUGUAGAAGAUGGACCAAUUUUCUACUUGUCUUGUUAUAGUGUCUGAGCAUUUCAAGAUUUCAAGAUUGUAAUGUGAUGGGUCACUUAUCACUUCUGAAAGCUGGUCAGAUCUACCACAAACUUCCAAAGAACGUUCUCUUACCAUGUCUGGAGCCAAUUAUUUUCUAAAUUAAUUUGGGGGUCCUUGUUACUGGGGAUUCCUUUAAAUAUAGAGAUCAGUAUAAACGAAUCAACUGAGAAAUCAUGGUACAUUUUUUCUCAUUCUGACAUUAUGAUGUAGCUGGACAGAAGAAGAAUACACACAGGUGGGAAAUUUAAUUUUUAACACUAAACAGCUAUAGGGUUGCAUGAUGUCGUCCUAGAGUGUCCCCCUUAAUUUUUUUACACUUAUUUCCACGGCUUUGCAGGCUGAUAGUUCGUUAUGGAGCAUUAAGCGGUUUAUUAGAUCAAGUUUCUCAUCCAAAUAGUCCUAGUUUUGUAUGCAACAGGUGUAAUUAGCUUUUGUAGGCUGAGUUUAGCCGCAGGAAGGAGCACUACAACAUGGCACUGAGAUGACCAUCAGAAGCUACCUACUGACUAAUUGGAUUACAUCCAAACAGCCAGAGUUUAUGGUGUAACUGGCAUAAAGUCCAAGUCUGAUGUGCUCCUCACUUGAUGUGUCUAAUACUUAUAGAAGUCAAUUGCUAAAAUGGUAUACAACGUAAUUUUUUGAACAAUAAUACCUCGUGCUAUAAGCUGCAUACGGUACAGGUGAGCUAUAUCUAAAAAAAUGUAAAUAUUCUUGUAGUAAAUAGGGGCUAUAGUACCAUUAAUGAUUCAAAGGACAAUUUGCCUUCCUUAUAACCACAUGCACCUCAGAUAAUGCACACAUUAGCAAGUAAUGCAAGCUGUCUGAAUCGUGGGUGGGUAACAGUCCUAAUCUGAUAUUCCAAAGUAGCUGUAUCUCUUGGGAAAACCAGGCUAUUAUCCACCAUCAUUCAUGUUUCUUGACAUCUGUGGAAAUUUUAACACAGGUUAGCCCUCCUUCUUUCUCAAUAAUAUUUUUUAUGCAACAUCUAAUUAAUUUUUUUGGAAGGGAUAGAAAGGUGCAGCCUCCUGCACAUCAGUUAGUUAUGCUGUAAAAUCACUGAACAUUGUGGUCUGCCGUAAAUUGUAUCCAUCAAAAAUGGGGCCUGUAUUAGAUAAACACAAACUGUGUAUUUAUUAUUUUAAUUAACUGAUAAAUCAUACUGUAUAUUCUUCAUUUUCAAUGCCACUUGCCACACACUAUGGGAAUCUUGAGAGAGAGUUUCUUGGAAUUGUUUCAUACAUAAUGUAUUAAAUUAUCUGAAUAUUCAUUUUAUUUGCAUAGUUUUUGGCUCAUUUGCCCGAAGAUGUGCUAGAGAACUUGAAAUGUUUUAAAGCACAAUCUACUACAUCGCAGACAGCCAUGGGCCUGAUCCUGUGUGGGGCUCCGUGCCUUUAACCUCACUGGCUUCACUGGGAAAGAUUCCUAAAUCAUUCCUUUCCUAAACACGGCUGCAGGGCCAGAUUCUCGGCUGGCAGAAACUGGCAUAGCUCCAUUGAUUACACU